rnacentral:rRNA from 1 species
AGAGUUUGAUCCUGGCUCAGAUUGAACGCUAGCGGGAUGCCAUACACAUGCAAGUCGAACGGCAGCACGGACUUCGGUCUGGUGGCGAGUGGCGAACGGGUGAGUAAUGUAUCGGAACGUGCCCAGUAGCGGGGGAUAACUACGCGAAAGCGUAGCUAAUACCGCAUACGCCCUACGGGGGAAAGCAGGGGAUCGCAAGACCUUGCACUAUUGGAGCGGCCGAUAUCGGAUUAGCUAGUUGGUGGGGUAACGGCUCACCAAGGCGACGAUCCGUAGCUGGUUUGAGAGGACGACCAGCCACACUGGGACUGAGACACGGCCCAGACUCCUACGGGAGGCAGCAGUGGGGAAUUUUGGACAAUGGGGGAAACCCUGAUCCAGCCAUCCCGCGUGUGCGAUGAAGGCCUUCGGGUUGUAAAGCACUUUUGGCAGGAAAGAAACGUCGUGGGUUAAUACCCCGCGAAACUGACGGUACCUGCAGAAUAAGCACCGGCUAACUACGUGCCAGCAGCCGCGGUAAUACGUAGGGUGCAAGCGUUAAUCGGAAUUACUGGGCGUAAAGCGUGCGCAGGCGGUUCGGAAAGAAAGAUGUGAAAUCCCAGAGCUUAACUUUGGAACUGCAUUUUUAACUACCGGGCUAGAGUGUGUCAGAGGGAGGUGGAAUUCCGCGUGUAGCAGUGAAAUGCGUAGAUAUGCGGAG